rnacentral:rRNA from 1 species
UACGUAGGGUGCAAGCGUUUGUCCGGAAUUAUUGGGCGUAAAGAGCUCGUAGGCGGUCUGUCGCGUCUGCUGUGAAAACCUAGGGCUUAACUCUGGGCGUGCAGUGGGUACGGGCAGGCUAGAGUGCGGUAGGGGAGACUGGAAUUCCUGGUGUAGCGGUGAAAUGCGCAGAUAUCAGGAGGAACACCGGUGGCGAAGGCGGGUCUCUGGGCAGUAACUGACGCUGAGGAGCGAAAGCGUGGGGAGCGAACAGG